rnacentral:rRNA from 1 species
UACGGAGGGGGCUAGCGUUGUUCGGAAUCAUUGGGCGUAAAGGGCGCGUAGGCGGCCGAUCAAGUCGGAGGUGAAAUCCCUCGGCUCAACUGAGGAAUUGCCUUCGAUACUGUUCGGCUUGAGUCCUGGAGAGGGUAGCGGAAUUCCCGGUGUAGCGGUGAAAUGCGUAGAGACCGGGAAGAACACCAGUGGCGAAGGCGGCUACCUGGACAGGUACUGACGCUGAAGCGCGAAAGCUAGGGGAGCAAACAGGAUUAGAUACCCUGGUAGUCCUAGCUGUAAACGAUGGGCACUUGGUGUUGCGGGUAUCGACCCCUGCAGUGCCGAAGCUAACGCAUUAAGUGCCCCGCCUGGGGAGUACGGUCGCAAGGCUGAA